rnacentral:rRNA from 1 species
UCUUCCUACGGGGCGCAGCAGUGGGGAAUAUUGCACAAUGGGCGAAAGCCUGAUGCAGCAACGCCGCGUGAGUGAUGAAGGCCUUCGGGUUGUAAAGCUCUGUCUUUUGGGACGAUAAUGACGGUACCAAAGGAGGAAGCCACGGCUAACUACGUGCCAGCAGCCGCGGUAAUACGUAGGUGGCGAGCGUUGUCCGGAUUUACUGGGCGUAAAGGAUGCGUAGGCGGAUUUUUAAGUGAGAUGUGAAAUACCCGGGCUUAACUUGGGUGCUGCAUUUCAAACUGGAAGUCUAGAGUGCGGGAGAG